rnacentral:rRNA from 1 species
UACGUAGGGGGCUAGCGUUAUCCGGAAUUACUGGGCGUAAAGGGUGCGUAGGUGGUUUCUUAAGUCAGAGGUGAAAGGCUACGGCUCAACCGUAGUAAGCCUUUGAAACUGAGAAACUUGAGUGCAGGAGGGGAGAGUAGAAUUCCUAGUGUAGCGGUGAAAUGCGUAGAUAUUAGGAGGAAUACCAGUUGCGAAGGCGGCUCUCUGGACUGUAACUGACACUGAGGCACGAAAGCGUGGGGAGCAAACAGG